UACAGAGGGGGCAAGCGUUAUUCGGAAUUACUGGGCGUAAAGCGCGCGCAGGCGGUGAUGUAAGACAGUUGUGAAAUCCCCGGGCUCAACCUGGGAACUGCAUCUGUGACUGCAUCGCUGGAGUGCGGCAGAGGGGGAUGGAAUUCCGCGUGUAGCAGUGAAAUGCGUAGAUAUGCGGAGGAACACCGAUGGCGAAGGCAAUCCCCUGGGCCUGCACUGACGCUCAUGCACGAAAGCGUGGGGAGCAAACAGG
rnacentral:rRNA from 1 species